rnacentral:rRNA from 1 species
AACGAACGCUGGCGGCAUGCCUAACACAUGCAAGUCGAACGAACCCUUCGGGGUUAGUGGCGCACGGGUGCGUAACGCGUGGGAAUCUGCCCUUAAGUGGGGGAUAACCAGGGGAAACCCUGACUAAUACCGCAUGAUCUCUUCGGAGCAAAGAGGGGGACCGCAAGGCCUCUCGCUUCUGGAUGAGCCUACGUCUGAUUAGCUAGUUGGCAGGGUAAAGGCCUACCAAGGCGACGAGCAGUAACUGGUCUGAGAGGAUGAUCAGUCACACCGGAGCUGGGACACGGUCCGGACUCCUACGGGAGGCAGCAGUGGGGAAUAUUGGACAAUGGGCGCAAGCCUGAUCCAGCAAUGCCGCGUGUGUGAAGAAGGCAUUCGAGUUGUAAAGCACUUUAGCCUGGAAAGAAAAAACUUUGGUUAACACCCAAAGUCUUGACGGUACCAGGAGAGUAAGCACCGGCUAACUCUGUGCCAGCAGCCGCAGUAAGAC